CGAAUCGGAUUUCUCAGUUCUUUUCGUGUUGUUGCCUACACUACACUCUACAGUUGUAGUAGUUCGACACAGUAGACAGUGGCUACUUCCAGGGUUUUGCUUUCGACUCAAGCUUGGGAAAACCUUCACGCGCGUCCAUAGCUGCUCACGACAAUCAUCCUUUCGCCAUGUCUCUCUCAGUUUACACCCUGAUCGGCGCUGCUCUGCUUGUCCUUGCCGGACCGAGUGAUGCGAAGAAGUGCGGCUUGGUAGAGUGCCCGCAUAUUCCUGACUUUCCUGGCAUCAGUCAGACUGAUUGCUGCUCGUACAGUCCCAACGACAAAUUGUGCUGCUUUGAUACGCUGGAUUCGACUUAUCUAGCUGGAUGGGCCAUUGGAGUGAUCGUAACAGGGUGUAUCCUGAUAGUCGGCGGCAUCAUCCUGUGUUGCUUGUGCUGCGCGUGCUGUCCUCUUGUCCGAUACCGUCAGCGGAAGCAGCUGGCAAUCGUCACCACGGCUACGUACCCAUCCUCAGGGCCUGUAACCCCUGCUUACCCGCCGUGUGUAGCCACCACCACCACUGUUACGCGUGCUUAGUGGGAUGUAGCAGACAUCGCUGACACCACACCAUCAAAGUUUAAGUGGAUGAUGAGUGAAGCUGUCGGUCUUCCAGCGACCGCUUCCCUGUGAAUCGUCUACCACUGCUCUCUGGUGAUGACAUCAUUCACUUUCACCUUCACAUGCGCACGCACACAUGCACACACAUCAUCUGACGUUGUGCCUACAUGCCUCCUUCUCCUUCCUUCUAGUACUUACAGUCUUUGGUUAGUUCUCAAAGUAGCAUGAUAUGCCCAGUUCUACAUGAGUGUGCUUGUUGUCGAUCUUCACUUAGCCUCUUUAUGAGGAUUUCAUCAGUUUCCUUUUUAGCAACUCACCUAGUGUGUUACUAUUAUCCAUAUCAAUUAGUUACCCUUUCGGAGUGUUUAGUAUUCUGUUGCUGGUAUGGGCUGAUCCACACCUCAGAUGUUUAAAACUUUACUGCUACCUGUAAGUUCAAGCGAUUGCACAGUGUUGUCGGAGUCUAGCAAUGAAACGUGUCCACCAGGUAGCGCCUCAGCCACACAAUGCAGUACUGAAAUGGUACAAGUACUAAAAUACAAUAAAGCCUGAGGCUACACCAUGCUAUAGGCACAUGGUGGAUAUUAAGUUGA